ACGCUCGACACCUACGGGAUGCAGCAGUGGGGAAUAUUGCACAAUGGGGGAAACCCUGAUGCAGCGACGCCGCGUGAGCGAAGAAGUAUUUCGGUAUGUAAAGCUCUAUCAGCAGGGAAGAAAAUGACGGUACCUGACUAAGAAGCACCGGCUAAAUACGUGCCAGCAGCCGCGGUAAUCUGAGCGGGCUGGCAAGGC
rnacentral:rRNA from 1 species